rnacentral:rRNA from 1 species
CGAGAAUCAUUCGCAAUGGGCGCAAGCCUGACGGUGCGACGUCGCGUGGAGGAUGAAGGUCUUCGGAUUGUAAACUCCUGUCAUGAGGGAUAAAUGGCCAGGGCACGAAUAGUGCCUUGGAAUGAUAGUACCUCAGGAGGAAGAGACGGCUAACUCUGUGCCAGCAGCCGCGGUAAUACAGAGGUCUCGAGCGUUGUUCGGAUUUACUGGGCGUAAAGGGAGCGUAGGCGGUUCGGUGUGUUGAAUGUGAAAUCCCACAACUCAACUGUGGAAUGGCAUUCAAAACUACCGGGCUAGAGUACUGGAGAGGAGAGCGGAAUUCUUGGUGUAGCGGUGAAAUGCGUAGAUAUCAAGAGGAACACCGGUGGCGAAGGCGGCUCUCUGGACAGAUACUGACGCUGAGGCUCUAAAGUUAGGGGAGCAAACA